AGAGUUUGAUCCUGGCUCAGAGUGAACGCUGGCGGUAGGCCUAACACAUGCAAGUCGAACGGCAGCACAGGAGAGCUUGCUCUCUGGGUGGCGAGUGGCGGACGGGUGAGGAAUACAUCGGAAUCUACCUUUUCGUGGGGGAUAACGUAGGGAAACUUACGCUAAUACCGCAUAAGACCUUCGGGUGAAAGCCGGGGACCUUCGGGCCUGGCGCGGAUAGAUGAGCCGAUGUCGGAUUAGCUUGUUGGCGGGGUAAAAGCCCACCAAGGCGACGAUCCGUAGCUGGUCUGAGAGGAUGAUCAGCCACACUGGAACUGAGACACGGUCCAGACUCCUACGGGAGGCAGCAGUGGGGAAUAUUGGACAAUGGGCGCAAGCCUGAUCCAGCCAUACCGCGUGGGUGAAGAAGGCCUUCGGGUUGUAAAGCCCUUUUGUUGGGAAAGAAAUCCUGCCGGUUAAUAACCAGUAGGGAUGACGGUACCCAAAGAAUAAGCACCGGCUAACUUCGUGCCAGCCGCCGCGGUAAUAC
rnacentral:rRNA from 1 species